AUGGUUGGACGAAAUAUUAACUGUUUCAUUUAAAUUUUUUAUAGAAUUUUAUUUUUUAGUCAAAAAGCUAAAAUUUAUUUAAAAGACGAGAAGACCCUAUAAAUCUUUAUAUUUUGUUUAUUUUAAUUAUAAAGAUUAAUUUAAUUUUAAUAAAUUAAAAUAUUUUAUUGGGGUGAUAUUAAAAUUUAAAAAACUUUUAAUUUUUAAAAACAUUAAUUUAUGAAUAAUUGAUCCAUUAAUAAUGAUUAUAAAAUUAAGUUACUUUAGGGAUAACAGCGUAAUUUUUUUGGAGAGUUCAUAUCGAUAAAAAAGAUUGCGACCUCGAUGUUGGAUUAAGAUAUAAUUUUGGGUGUAGCCGUUCAAAUUUUAAGUCUGUUCGACUUUUAAAUUCUUACAUGAUCUGAGUUCAAACCGGUGUAAGCCAGGUUGGUUUCUAUCUUUAAAAAAUUAUAAUAUUUUAGUACGAAAGGACCAAAUAUUAAAAUAAUUAUAUUUUAUAAUAUGAAUAUUAUUAAUAU
rnacentral:rRNA from 1 species